rnacentral:rRNA from 1 species
GACGAACGCUGGCGGCGUGCCUAAUACAUGCAAGUAGAACGCUGAAGGAGGAGCUUGCUUCUCUGGAUGAGUUGCGAACGGGUGAGUAACGCGUAGGUAACCUGCCUGGUAGCGGGGGAUAACUAUUGGAAACGAUAGCCAAUACCGCAUAAUAGUAGAUGUUGCAUGACAUUUGCUUAAAAGGUGCAAUUGCAUCACUACCAGAUGGACCUGCGUUGUAUUAGCUAGUUGGUGGGGUAACGGCUCACCAAGGCGACGAUACAUAGCCGACCUGAGAGGGUGGUCGGCCACACUGGGACUGAGACACGGCCCAGACGCCUACGGGAGGCAGCAGUAGGGAAUCUUCGGCAAUGGACGGAAGUCUGACCGAGCAACGCCGCGUGAGUGAAGAAGGUUUUCGGAUCGUAAAGCUCUGUUGUAAGAGAAGAACGAGUGUGAGAGUGGAAAGGUCACACUGUGACGGUAUCUUACCAGAAAGGGACGGCUAACUACGUG